GGUAUUGAAAUAAGAUUUUAAUUGAAUGCUAAGAGAAUGGAAUUUCAGAAAAAAGCUUUUUUUAAAUUAAAAAUUGAACUUUUUUUAAUUUGUGCAGAAACAAUUAUUAAUAUUAAGGACAAGAAGACCCUAUGAAUUUAUUAAAUUUAUAUUAAUGAGAAUUUCACAUUAAAUAAAUUUUGGCUGGGGCGGCAAGGAAAUAUUAAAAACUUUUCAUAAAAUAAAAUGAUCCAUUAUUAAUGAUUACAUGUUAAAUACUCUAGGGAUAACAGCGU
rnacentral:rRNA from 1 species